ACUCGAGCUGGUCAGUCGUGUUAAACCGAGACUGAGGAAAAUGUUUUAUUCUUUUAUUUAUUAUAGUUUUACUACAGGAUUAUUAUCAUUAUCAUCAUCAGUGUUUAACAGAGACAGGAGGACACCAAACCUGUGAACUUUAUCAGAGCUGAAAACUUCGGUUUGGUUGCGGAGAAAGAUCCAAGAUGUCUGUGAGCAGCCACGAGAACCGGAAGUCCCGGUCGAGCGCCGGCUCCAUGAACAUCCACCUGUUCCACAAGACCUCUCACGCCGACAGCCUCCUCACUCACCUCAACCUGCUCCGGAAGCGCUGCGUCUUCACGGACGUGGUGCUGCGAGCCGGAAACCGGGCGUUUCCCUGCCACAGGGCGGUCCUGGCCUCCUGCAGCCGCUACUUCGAGGCCAUGUUCAACGGCGGACUCAAGGAGAGUCGGGACGCCGAGGUCAACUUCCACGACUCGCUGCACCCGGAGGUGCUGGAGCUCCUGUUGGACUACGCCUACUCGGCCCGGGUCAUCCUGAACGAGGAGAACGCCGAGUCCCUGCUGGAGGCCGGGGACAUGCUUCAGUUCCUCGACAUCCGCGACGCCUCGGCCGAGUUCCUGGAGAAGAACCUGCACCCGUCCAACUGCCUGGGCAUGAUGCUGCUGUCGGACGCGCAUCAGUGCGCGCGGCUUUACGAGCUCUCCUGGAAGAUGUGCCUGGCUGAUUUCGCCGCCCUGUCCAAGAGCGAGGACUUCCUGAACCUGCCCAAGGACAAGGUCCGAGAGCUGAUCUUCAGCGAGGAGCUGGAGGUGGAGGACGAGAGCGUGGUGUACGAGUCCGUCAUCGACUGGGUGAAAGCCGACGCCCGCGGACGCCUGGACGACCUGCCGGACCUCCUGCGCUGCGUACGCCUCGCCCUCCUCCCGGAGACCUACCUGCUGAGGAACGUGGUCUCGGAAGAUCUCAUCAUGGAGGACAAAGUGUGCAGGGAGAUCGUCGAAGACGCCGUGCGAUGCAAGAUGAAGAUCCUGCAGAACGACGGCGUGGUCACCGGUUUCUGCGCCCGUCCGCGCAAAAUCAGCCAAGCUCUGCUGCUCCUGGGCGGCCAGACGUUCAUGUGCGACAAGGUGUACACCAUCGACCACAAAACCAAGGAGAUCACGCUCAAAACCGACCUGCCCAGCCCCAGGAAGGAGUGCAGCGCCUGCGCCAUAGGGUGCAAGGUCUACGUCACAGGAGGGAAGGGGUCCGAAAACGGCGCCUCCAGGGACGUCUGGGUCUACGACACCUUGCACGACGAGUGGUCCAAGGCGGCGCCGAUGCUGGUGGCGAGAUUCGGGCACGGCUCGGCCGAGCUGGACCACCUCCUGUACGUCGUGGGAGGGCACACGUCUCCGUCGGGGUCCUUCCCGGCCUCGCCGUCCGUCUCCCUCAAGCAGGUCGAGCAGUACAACCCACAGUCCAACAAAUGGACCCUGGUGGCGCCCCUGCGCGAGGGCGUGAGCAACGCCGCCGUGGUCGGCGCCAAAAACAAGCUCUUUGCGUUCGGCGGGACCAGCGUGAGCAGGGACAAGUACCCCAAAGUGCAGUGUUUCGACCCGUGCGAGAACAGAUGGACGGUGCCGGCCACCUGCCCCCAGCUCUGGCGCUACACGGCCGCCGCGGCUGUCGGGAAUCACGUCGUGGUCAUCGGCGGCGACACGGAGUUCUCGGCGAGCUCGGCGUACCGCUUCAACAGCGAAACGUAUCAGUGGACCAAGUUCGUAGACGUCACGGAGAAGCGGAUCAGCUGCUACGCCGUGGCCUCGGGGAACAGACUCUACGUGGUGGGGGGGUAUUUCGGCGCGCAGAGGUGCAAAACCUUGGACUGUUACGACCCCUCUACGGACUCGUGGGACAGCGUCACCAGCGUUCCGUACUCCCUCAUUCCCACUGCGUUCGUCAGCACCUGGAGGUACCUGCCCUCCUGAGCACCAGGGGACGUGACCAGGGAAGGUUUCAGUGCGGGUGAGUUUCUGGUCCCUGAAGAACCGGAUUCUCUGGUUUACUCUGGUAAAUCAGGACAAAGAUGCCCAGCGGCGUGAGGAACGCAGGCGAGUUUCCUGUCCAUCCGGCGGAGGAAUGCAGGGCCGGGGGGGGAGGGGGGGGGACGAGACGCCGAGGCCGUGAGAGGGAAUGAAAGAGCACGACGGAUUCCUUACAGACAAAAGAGCAGAACGGCGAUUCAGAGCCGAACAAAAGAGCCGGAGGAGCCGCCGAGACGAGCGUUCAACAUCAAACACGCCGUAAUCCCGCGCCGCUCUUUCUUCUCCUCGUCUCAAUCCCUGAAGGAUUUUCGGACUCCUCUCUUCUUGAGGUGAAGGACGUGGAUAAGCCGCGCGGUAUGCGGUGAGGUUUGGGACGCAGCCAGAGACGACGGCGCGGUUAUCAGAGGAGGAAGCGGCGGCUCGGCUCUGUGUUCAAUACGCUAACGCGCAAUACGCGUCUCCACGUCGUUUAUAUAGAACAUUAUUUUAUUAAUAAUAAAUUUCAUGACUACUUUUUUAUUGUAUUGUUAGCACACGCCAACAUUCACCAAGAUUCUGAACUCCUCAGCGCUGCCACCGGUCGGCUGGGCGCCAUCUAGCGGUUAAUAAUUGGCAGCGCCUGCAGCAGACACGGUUCUGCUAGGGAGGGAUGACCGGACUAUGUGGGUGGGGUCUUCAAACGCUGUGUAAGGACCCUGAUUGGCAGAUAGAGGCGCCUGUGCAGAGUCCGCUAAGCCGCAAGCGGGUCGGAGGAGGCGUGAGCGGCAAUAUACCCACCUCACCUGCAAUCAGGGAUCCACCAGCAGCGGAAGACCAAUCCAAUUUAGUCAUAUCCAAUUCCCCUCUAGUGCUGCAGACCUCCCCUGCUGACCGAGGAGAGCCGUGACUAACACACGCCCCCCUCCGACACGUGUGCAGUACCGGCUGCUUUUUUUCACCUGCCUUUUUAACGCAUUUAAAAGACGAGAUUAUUUCAAUAUUUGUGCAGAAGGUCGAUGUAUCGACUCAUGAAGUGCUUCCGACCCUGCCAUUGGACUGAAUCUUAACCAGAUAAGCUAAAUCUUUUUAUAAGACUCGAAACUGUAUUACCCAGGGUGCACCGCGUGGCGCUCACCCGUUCCCACUCUCUGUAAUCCUGUAUGAUUUGCUGAUACUUCAAGCACCGAGUAUGACUAUGAUGACGAUGUCUCUCUCUUAAACUGUAGAGUUUCUGUCCACAAAGUUACUGAAUGUUUGGAAAUAAAACACACGCCCUGUGUUUCACUCUCGA